rnacentral:rRNA from 1 species
AGAGUUUGAUCCUGGCUCAGGAUGAACGCUAGCGGCAGGCCUAACACAUGCAAGUCGAGGGGUAAUCUGAUUAAUAGCAAUAUUAAUUAGGCUAGACCGGCGCACGGGUGCGUAACACGUAUGCAAUCUACCUUGUACUGGGGCAUAACUUCGAGAAAUCGAUGCUAAUUCCCCAUAAUAUAAUGAAGUGGCAUCACUUUAUUAUUAAAGCUCCGGCGGUACAAGAUGAGCAUGCGUCCAAUUAGCUAGUAGGCGAGGUAACGGCUCACCUAGGCUACGAUUGGUAGGGGUUCUGAGAGGAUGAUCCCCCACACUGGUACUGAGACACGGACCAGACUCCUACGGGAGGCAGCAGUGAGGAAUAUUGCGCAAUGGACGAAAGUCUGACGCAGCCAUGCCGCGUGAAGGAUUGAAGGCCCUAUGGGUUGUAAACUUCUUUUGUAUAGGAAUAAACCCCCGAACGUGUUCGGGGCUGAAGGUACUAUAAGAAUAAGCACCGGCUAACUCCGUGCCAGCAGCCGCGGUAAUACGGAGGGUGCAAGCGUUAUCCGGAUNUAUUGGGUUUAAAGGGUCCGUAGGCGGAUCGUUAAGUCAGUGGUGAAAGCCUA